GCCUCUGGGGAAACCCAGCUUCUUGUGUUCUGCCUUGUCUUCCACACUCUGAUGCCACUUGGGCCUGUUGGGAGGCUUGGGCGGGCUGUCUGCGAGGCCCUCCGAGAAAGCAGGCACUGGAUGAGUGAAGUUGCCUGCCUACCCCUUACAAGGCGAUGGGGAUCCCCUGGAAAGUUUCAGAGAAGAAAGUGGCGGAUGGAGAGAGAGAAAAACACUGAGAGAAACUGGUUCGUUGUUCCUCUUCUCCAUGUUUUCAUUGGCUGAUUCCUGUGUGUGCCCUGACUGGGAAUCAAACCCUCAACAUUGGUGCAUCAGGACGACACUCCAACCAACUGAGCCAUGGGAAAACCCUUAGAUCUCUUUGUCCCCAGGUGUCCUAAAUAAUGGUGGUGUGUUUCCUCUGUAAUGACAUGGGACAGGCU